GAUGAACGCUGGCGGCGUGCCUAACACAUGCAAGUCGAGCGAUUCACUUCGGUGAAGAGCGGCGGACGGGUGAGUAACGCGUGGGUAACCUGCCUCAUACACAUGGCUAACAUACCGAAAGGUAUGCUAAUACAAGAUGAUAUAAGAGAUUCGCAUGGACUUCUUAUCAAAGCUCCGGCGGUAUGAGAUGGACCCGCGUCUGAUUAGCUAGUUGGUAAGGUAACGGCUUACCAAGGCGACGAUCAGUAGCCGACCUGAGAGGGUGAUCGGCCACAUUGGAACUGAGACACGGUCCAAACUCCUACGGGAGGCAGCAGUGGGGAAUAUUGCACAAUGGGCGAAAGCCUGAUGCAGCAACGCCGCGUGAGCGAUGAAGGCCUUCGGGUCGUAAAGCUCUGUCCUCAAGGAAGAUAAUGACGGUACUUGAGGAGGAAGCCCCGGCUAACUACGUGCCAGCCGCCGCCGUAACAC
rnacentral:rRNA from 1 species